rnacentral:lncRNA from 1 species
AGGAAAAUGGCACUACUUUAAUAAAUAAUAGCGCAGGAAAACUGGGCUCGAGACAUAGCUAGUUUAAUCUUGGAGUAAAACCCUGGUCUUUAUUAUGUUUGCUAAAUAGCAUAAAACAGGAAAAGUGGUUUGUUAGCUUUUGCUGAGCAGACAUUUCAAGUCAAACCAUUUCGUGCUUGCUGCUGGAAGUUGUUUAGACUGGGGGGGAGCGGUUAUCCCUAGUUUAACUUGUCAGCCUGUUUUUAUUUUUUGAGGCUUGCUGACCAUAAACACGUUGUUCUGGUUCUUUUUUAAGUUUCAGUAUUAGCUCCUCUCCACUCAAUCAUUUACUUACAGGAGUUUCACGAUAACUGCUUGGAUUAUGGAAUUCUGGAGUAAAAUUAUAGGCUAUGUACACGUAAUGGCCCCGUAUCACUGUGCACGCAGCUGCAGAGCCUCUGGAUCUGACCGCCUGUGCACCAUUUCAAUGGCAAAGGCUCUUCCACUCGGGCUCAUUUCCCUCAGUUUGACUUAAUUCCUAAAUGUUUUGAACAUUGAUCCCCGAGGUUUUCAGCGCCCUGAGCCCCUCGCCUGCUGUUUGAUAGGUUAACUUUUCAGCAUCUCAGACAAUGGUCUCGGCCUGUAAACUCUACCCAUUGGUUCCAGGACGCAAUCCCCAGCCUCGCUCUAACAAGCGCUAUCUUAAUCCCCCCCCCCCCCCCCCGCCGCUUCCCCUGUGGUCUGCUUUUUUCAUACACAGAGAUGAAUUACUUUGAGGAUCUAAUUGGCCUUGUUUCUGUAACGUUUUAAGAAAGGGAAGAGGAGCCAGUGUAAAAGCCUGCUCGACUUGGGUGGUCAGGGCUGAGGCUGCCCCCAAUUUGCCUCAUUGCUGAUGCAUGCGAGUGCCACAUUCCCAGCGAUAAUGUUGUUCCUAAUCAAUCUGCCCUUAUUUACAUUUGUAAGCAUUGUCGGCUUUAAUAUGCAUGCCCUGUGCAGGGGACUGCUGAGCCACACCGGGUUUGUUAACUUCCAACUAACCACAAGGAUUCCACAGACCUGAGAUGAGGCUGAUUGGAGGAGCCAGGCCUGCUAAGGUGUCUGCUGG